UACGUAGGGUGCAGGCGUUAAUCGGAAUUACUGGGCGUAAAGCGUGCGCAGGCGGUUUUGUAAGCCAGAUGUGAAAUCCCCGGGCUCAACCUGGGAAUGGCAUUUGGGACUGCAAGGCUCGAGUGCGGCAGAGGAGACUGGAAUUCCUGGUGUAGCAGUGAAAUGCGUAGAUAUCAGGAGGAAUACCGAUGGCGAAGGCAGGUCUCUGGGCUGACACUGACGCUCAUGCACGAAAGCGUGGGGAGCAAACAGG
rnacentral:rRNA from 1 species